rnacentral:rRNA from 1 species
UACGUAGGGGGCGAGCGUUGUCCGGAUUUAUUGGGCGUAAAACGCUUGUAGGCGGCCACCGCGCGUCGGACGUGAAAUCUCCCGGCUCAACUGGGAGGGGUCGUGCGAUACGGCGGGGCUCGAGGCCGGUAGGGGGACGCGGAAUUCCCGGUGUAGUGGUGGAAUGCGUAGAUAUCGGGAGGAACACCGGUGGCGAAGGCGGCGACCUGGGUAGAUACUGACGCUGAGGUGCGAAAGCGUGGGGAGCAAACAGG